rnacentral:rRNA from 1 species
AGCACAGCAGAGCUUGCUCUGUGGGUGGCGAGUGGCGGACGGGUGAGUAAUGCAUCGGGACCUACCCAGACGUGGGGGAUAACCUCGGGAAACCGGGACUAAUACCGCAUACGUCCUACGGGAGAAAGCGGGGGAUCUUCGGACCUCGCGCGGUUGGACGGACCGAUGUGCGAUUAGCUAGUUGGUAGGGUAAAGGCCUACCAAGGCGACGAUCGCUAGCUGGUCUGAGAGGAUGAUCAGCCACACUGGAACUGAGACACGGUCCAGACUCCUACGGGAGGCAGCAGUGGGGAAUAUUGGACAAUGGGCGCGAGCCUGAUCCAGCAAUGCCGCGUGUGUGAAGAAGGCCUUCGGGUUGUAAAGCACUUUUAUCAGGAACGAAAUACCACGGGUCAAUAACCGGUGGGGCUGACGGUACCUGAGGAAUAAGCACCGGCUAACUUCGUGCCAGCAGCCGCGGUAAUACGAAGGGUGCAAGCGUUAAUCGGAAUUACUGGGCGUAAAGGGUGCGUAGGCGGUUCGUUAAGUCUGUUGUGAAAUCCCCGGGCUCAACCUGGGAAUGGCAAUGGAUACUGGCGAGCUAGAGUGUGUCAGAGGAUGGUGGAAUUUCCGGUGUAACGGUGAAAUGCGUAGAGAUCGGAAGGAACAUCAGUGGCGAAGGCGGCCAUCUGGGACAACACUGACGCUGAAGCACGAAAGCGUGGGGAGCAAACAGGAUUAGAUACCCCGGUAGUCCACGCCCUAAACGAUGCGAACUGGAUGUUGGUCUCAACUCGGAGAUCAGUG